GAUAUGCGAUACGUCGUGUGAAUUGCAGAAUUCAGUGUAUCAUCGAAUCUUUGAACGCACAUUGCGCCCGUUGGUAUUCCAAAGGGCAUGCCUGUUCGAGCGUCAUUUGUACCCUCAAGCUUUGCUUGGUGUUGGGCGUCUUGUCUCCAGUUCGCUGGAGACUCGCCUUAAAGUCAUUGGCAGCCGGCCUACUGGUUUCGGAGCGCAGCACAAGUCGCGCUCUCUUCCAGCCAAGGUCAGCGUCCAGUAAGGCUUUUUUUCAACUUUUAGCCUCGGAUUAGGUAGGGAUACCCGCUGAUCUUAA
rnacentral:misc_RNA from 1 species